UACGUAGGGUGCGAGCGUUGUCCGGAAUUAUUGGGCGUAAAGAGCUCGUAGGCGGCUUGUCACGUCGGAUGUGAAAGCCCGGGGCUUAACCCCGGGUCUGCAUUCGAUACGGGCAGGCUAGAGUGUGGUAGGGGAGAUCGGAAUUCCUGGUGUAGCGGUGAAAUGCGCAGAUAUCAGGAGGAACACCGGUGGCGAAGGCGGAUCUCUGGGCCAUUACUGACGCUGAGGAGCGAAAGCGUGGGGAG
rnacentral:rRNA from 1 species